CCCUUAGAUGUCCUGGGCCGCACGCGCGCUACACUGACGGAGCCAGCGAGCUUACCCCUUUGCCGAAAGGCAUGGGAAAUCUUUUGAAUCUCCGUCGUGCUGGGGAUAGAUCAUUGCAAUUAUUGAUCUUGAACGAGGAAUUCCUAGUAAGCGCAAGUCAUCAACUUGCGUUGAUUACGUCCCUGCCCUUUGUACACACCGCCCGUCGCACCUACCGAUUGAAUGUUUCGGUGAAGAUUCCGGAUAGGACUUUUUUGAUUUAUUUCAAUUUUGUCUUAAAAGCUAUCUAAACCUCAACAUUUAGAGGAAGGUGAAGUCGUAACA
rnacentral:rRNA from 1 species